rnacentral:rRNA from 1 species
UACGUAGGGUGCAAGCGUUAAUCGGAAUUACUGGGCGUAAAGCGUGCGCAGGCGGUUAUGUAAGACAGAUGUGAAAUCCCCGGGCUUAACCUGGGAAUGGCAUUUGUGACUGCACGGCUAGAGUGUGUCAGAGGGGGGUAGAAUUCCACGUGUAGCAGUGAAAUGCGUAGAUAUGUGGAGGAAUACCGAUGGCGAAGGCAGCCCCCUGGGAUAACACUGACGCUCAUGCACGAAAGCGUGGGGAGCAAACAGG